CACCGCGGUUAUACGAGGAACCCAAGUAGAUGGCCUCCGGCGUAAAGAGUGGUUAAAAUGCUAGAAAAACUAAAGCCAAAUAUCCUCAUAACUGUUAUACGUUCAUGAGAGCAAGAAGCCCAACCACGAAAGUGGCUUUACACAUUUGACCCCACGAAAGCUAGGGCACAAACUGGGAUUAGAUACCCCACUAUGCCUAGCCAUAAACAUAGAUAACUAAGUACUUAUUUAUCCGCCCGGGAACUACGAGCGACAGCUUAAAACCCAAAGGACUUGGCGGUGCUUUAGAUCCACCUAGAGGAGCCUGUUCUGGAACCGAUAAUCCCCGUUAAACCUCACCUUUCCUUGUUCUUUUCCGCCUAUAUACCGCCGUCGUCAGCUUACUCUGUGAAGAAUAAGCAGUAAGCGCAACCGGCAAAGCCCAAAACGCCAGGUCGAGGUGUAGCGAAUGGAGAGGGAAGAAAUGGGCUACAUUCAAUAACAAUAAUGCACACGGAAGGUGCUCUGAAACAGGCACCUGAAGGAGGAUUUAGAAGUAAGCCGGGAGCAGAGUGCCCUGCUGAAACUGGCCCUGAAGCGCGUACACACCGCCCGUCACUCUCCCCGAAAAAAAUUAAACCAUUUUUAAUAAGCCAAUAAACAUAGAGGGGAGGCAAGUCGUAA
rnacentral:rRNA from 1 species